UACAGAGGGGGCAAGCGUUGUUCGGAAUUACUGGGCGUAAAGGGCGCGUAGGCGGCCAACUAAGUCGGACGUGAAAUCCCCAGGCUCAACCUGGGAACUGCGUCCGAUACUGGAUGGCUCGAAUCCGGGAGAGGGAUGUGGAAUUCCAGGUGUAGCGGUGAAAUGCGUAGAUAUCCGGAGGAACACCGGUGGCGAAGGCGGCUUCCUGGACCGACACUGACGCUGAGGCGCGAAAGCUAGGGGAGCAAACGGGG
rnacentral:rRNA from 1 species